UCUCUCUUAGUCAGUUAAGAGUCAGAAUUGUUCAGUUAUUUGAACUCAACCUAAUGUCUCUAGAUAAUCUCUUGGGCUGAACGUCUUUACCACCAGAGCAUACACUGCUGUGUGAGGGUUUUAGUGUUUCUCCUCACACCCCUUAACACAUGCAACAUCAAUAACACUUCUAAAUUUCUUUUUAGCUUGUUCAUACUUUGCACUCCCUCACAGACAUGCACACACAACCCAGUCAAAGUUUUCCACAGGAAACAGAGUCCUAGAUUUCACCCCAGGAGUUAGAGGUAAACGGAACCCACCUGCUAAGGAAUACUGGGUCAGAGGCGGAGGACUAUUAUGGUUUUACCCUGUUCCUUUUAAUGAGGCUGCAUUGCAUUACCAUACUACCUUUGGAAGAAAAAUACAUCUUGGCAGUUUGUUAACACCUUUCAUCUCUACUACCUACUGCAAAAAACCUACUGUCUUUAGUGAUCAGACUUAGCAAGGAAACAUUUAUAUAGCUCUAAGAAAUCAACUGAAGAUUAUAGAAUUGAAGUGGACAUUGCUGUCUAAAAAGGUGGAGGAGGCGGCUUGCUUAUGACCAUCUAAUAGUUUAUAACAGAAGUGGGAUUCAAACCAGAUUACAGUGUAGAUUGCAUAUUACAGUGAAGUACCUGCAAUCAGUGCAAGCAUCACAUAUGCAUCAAGGAUCACUUAAGUACUAUGGAGGAGACAAGCAUAUCAUAGAAUUAUAUGGAUUCCCAAACAACCUUCGAGGAAUACUAUAAGGGAACAAAAUGUCUAUGGAACAGUGGUGUCAUGUGAAGAAAAACUUUUGAAAGAGCUAAUUUCUGUCUCUUAGAUUACCCCAUUUUUCGCCUACCAGGUUUACUUUUGUUUUACCUAUGGGCUACUGUGGUCUGUUAGAGUUAGUCCACAUACUUGCAGUUGACAUCCAUUGGUGAGACUGACCAACUCUCUUGUGGUAUUGCUCAAUGCUUGUCCUUCACCUACUGAUUAAGAAACCUAGACUAACAUGCUUAACUUGAUUUUUAUUAUGAAAACAGCAUUACAACACAUAGCGGUAGGCCUUCUGUGGAAACAAAUGAAUUAGUAGCUCUGGCUCAGAUAACAGUUAGCAAGUCUGUAUCCUGUGAAUUUUGUUGAAGAUUGGCAGACUUCAAACAGGAAAAACACAACAGGAAGUUCAUAACCAAUAAGGCUACAUGAAAAGGCAAACAAUGUGGUUUCUCACACACCUUAUUGGUCUUGUUUAGAAAAGUCUAUAGAGGCAUGACUGAAAACCUUCACAAAAUGUGUUAAGUGCAACGCUGUGCAUAUAAUGCCUUGAUUCUGUGCAAUCAUUGGUGUACAAAUCCAUUGCACAUGGUCUAGAGAAGCUUGAUUGCACAGAAUCAGUAAUAUGCAAAAACAGUGUUGCAAUUAACAGACAUUGUGCUGAGAUAAUGGACCUGAACUAUUCAGCGAGUAUUCUUAUAUUUUUGUGAAGGUUCUCAGUCAUGCCUCUAGAGACUUUUCUAAACAAUCUUCAGUCUGAGCAGCACAUGGAUAAAGUAUUUCAUGAGAAAAAAGUAAAACUACAAGUAGCAGUGUUAAUAAAUCGAUGAGACUGAUAGUACACCGCUCUGGGCUCCUUGGAGGAAGAGUGGGAUAUAAAAUGUAAAAACAAAACAAACAAAAUCUUAGCAUGGUGCAAACUUACUGGAACUGCUUUCUUUUGAAUGAAAGAUAAAAUUGAUGUAUACCGCAAACUUCAAUAUAUGUAUGUUACUUUAUAAAGUAUUGUA